rnacentral:lncRNA from 1 species
AGCUCAGAGAUAAAAGCUAUGGGAGGGUGCACUGAUGUCUGAGUGAUGUUUAACCAUGCCGGUCCAGGUACAGUGCCUGUCUCCGGAAUGAUGCAGGGAUCCCAAAGUGGAGAGAAUUAGACCUAUCGCAUUUGUGAUUAGAGUGGGCAACUACCACCAGGAGAAGGACAUUUCUCAGGCUAGCCCAUUGGUUCCAGGAGAUUAAUGAGAGACGAAUCGGAGUUGUCUCACAUAGCUACCCCAGCCAAGCCAAAUCUAACAAGAGACCUCAGCUGACCUGCAAUUGCGUGAACUCUAACAAGAAAUAGUUGUGUAAAGCCCCUGAUUUUGGGGACGGUUUGCUCUGCAGCGGUAACUAAAUGACUCAGUAGCAGAAAAGCAACAAAUGAUCAGGAGAAUUGGGGGCUUACCCAGUGAGCGAAGCUUUGGCAAAAAUGUAAAGCCGUGCAGCACAAUGCAAGAGGAGGCCAAGGACUCCCUGCAAAACCUCAACUUCAAGCCUAAAACAGCCUGAAGGUUGAAAAACUGGACUGCUGGCUCCAGAUGAAGUCCACCCUUUCCCAACUGAUUCUUUCUGAAUAAUGCCCACCUGCACACUCAGAGGAUGGGGUGGGGCCAUGCAAGCUCCCUGCCGGGAACCCAGCCUCUUGAGCUCCUAUGUGGUGGGGCAGGAGCCAGUUCACAGGCUUCCCUCUCACUCUGCUGAGAGUUUUUCUCUUUUCCUUUUUUUUGCCCAAUAAAUUCCAUUU